GAAAGUAUUUGAAGGGAUAAUAUUUAGGAAUUCAUUGGUAGGAGCAGUGUUAUUAGCAAUAAGCAGCAUGGUUUUAUGAAACAUAGCUCAUGUCAAACUAAACUAAUUGCAUUCUACAAAGUAGUAAUUAGAAGUAAAGAUCAGAGUGUUGCAGUGUAUGUGAUCUACUUGGAUUUUGCCAAUUCAAUCAGUUUCUCGCAAUCAAUCAGUGUUCUAACUAAAAUAAAUUGGUCUAAAU